rnacentral:rRNA from 1 species
UACGAAGGGUGCAAGCGUUACUCGGAAUUACUGGGCGUAAAGCGUGCGUAGGCGGUUUGUUAAGUCCGCUGUGAAAGCCCUGGGCUCAACCGGGGAAGUGCAUCUGAAACUGGCGGGCUAGAGUACGAAAGAGGGUCGCGGAAUUCCCGGUGUAGAGGUGAAAUUCGUAGAUAUCGGGAGGAACACCGGUGGCGAAGGCGGCGACCUGGGUCGAUACUGACGCUGAGGUGCGAAAGCGUGGGGAGCAAACAGG